rnacentral:rRNA from 1 species
UACGUAGGGUGCAAGCGUUGUCCGGAAUUAUUGGGCGUAAAGGGCUCGUAGGCGGCCCAUCGCGUCGGGAGUGAAAAGCUGGGGCUCAACCCCAGUCCUGCUUCCGAUACGGGUGGACUAGAGGUAUGCAGGGGAGAACGGAAUUCCUGGUGUAGCGGUGAAAUGCGCAGAUAUCAGGAGGAACACCGGUGGCGAAGGCGGUUCUCUGGGCAUUACCUGACGCUGAGGAGCGAAAGCGUGGGGAGCGAACAGG